UACAGAGGUCUCAAGCGUUUGUUCGGAUUCAUUGGGCGUAAAGCGUGCGUAGGCGGUUCUCCAAGUCCGUUGUGAAAGCCCCGGGCUCAACCUGGGAAUGGCAGUGGAAACUAGGGGACUGGAAUCUGGCAGAGGGGGGGUGGAAUCCGCGUGUAGCAGUGAAAUGCGUAGAGAUGCGGCGGAACACCGAUGGCGAAGGCAGCCCCCUGGGCCUGAGAUUGACGCUCAGGCACGAAAGCGUGGGGAGCAAACAGG
rnacentral:rRNA from 1 species